CCUACGGGAGGCAGCAGUGGGGAAUCUUGCGCAAUGGGCGGAAGCCUGACGCAGCAACGCCGCGUGCGGGAAGAAGGCCUUAGGGUCGUAAACCGCUUUCAGGGGGGACGAAGCUUCCGGGGUUAAUAGCCUACGGGGUGACGGUACUCCCAAAAGAAGGUCCGGCUAACUACGUGCCAGCAGCCGCGGUAAUACGUAGGGACCGAGCGUUGUCCGGAAUCAUUGGGCGUAAAGAGCGUGUAGGCGGCCUAGUAGGUCUCGUGUGAAAUCCCGUGGCUCAACCACGGACACGCACGGGAAACCCCCUAGGCUCGAGUCCGGAAGAGGAGAGCGGAAUUCCUGGUGUAGCGGUGAAAUGCGCAGAUAUCAGGAAGAACACCCGUAGCGAAGGCGGCUCUCUGGGACGGUACUGACGCUGAGACGCGAAAGCGUGGGGAGCAAACCAGGAUUAGAUACCCUGGUAGUCCACGCCGUAAACCGAUGGAUGCUAGGUGUGGGAGGUGUCGACCCGUCCCGUGCCGAAGCUAACGCAUUAAGCAUCCGCCUGGGGAGUACGGCCGCAAGGCUAAACCUUAAAUGAAUUGACGGCGNGAGACGNGCCGACGACGACGACGAGGGAGUAGG
rnacentral:rRNA from 1 species